UCCGGAAUCAAACUUCAUGAAUUUUAACCAAUAUUUUUCAAAACUUUUGUCUUCACCACAUUGAUAUGAAGAAUUGCAACUUAUAAUACUUUUGAUAUUGUUUUUGAAUAUAUAUAUUUUAAUCUUAAAAUAGUGAAUUAAUUUAAUCAAUUUAAUUUAGGAGAUUAAUCAGAUUGACUCUCAAGAAGCGAACUGUGACAACUAUUUUGAGACGGAGGGCGUAGCAUGUAAUGCUAGUGAGGAUGACCAGGUUCAAUGAACCUACAAAAGGAAUCUGCUGAAAUAACAGCCCUCAAUUCCAUUUGCAGGUUGAGAGUUCCUAUAAAGAAGCUUGAUUGAUGAUGAAAUGAAAUUCAAACACAAAGGUCUUCCCUUGUCUUUGUUUUUAUAGAAUUACUCCAAGGAUGUAACUGUGUCAUUAUUCUUCAUCUUCAAACUCUCUUCUCCUCCAAUCUCAACUAUGAGCUAGCUCAGGAAGCUGUGGCUAAAGUCUACGAAGACUUCAAGACCAUGAAGAGUCCUACGUAUGGUACAUUUACAACCUUGAAUUCAUGCCAACAAACUCAUCUGAAUAUCAGAAAUUUUUAAAACAAAAGAAACUCUCAGCUUAUUGUGUGACUAUGAUUACAAGAAAUGCUUCGCUUGAGGAAACUAAGGCCAUUUUAAGGAGCAUUUUUGCUAGCAGUUUCUUUUAAUUUGACUUGAAGAACGUCCAAAGAAUGGACUGGCUAAUAAAAGAACCUGAAAGAGUUACUAGUAGGUAUCGGUCGCGUGUCCGAUGAAAUAGUCGAGGUGGACCCACUAUAGUCCAGAUACCAUACCAUGCCACCAUUAUAAUUAAAAAAAAAACAAAUUGAAAGAAACAACGCACAAGUGGUAGAUGCAUAUUCACCGAGGAGUUCAUUAUCUAUUAUAUAUACAUAAGAAAAAAACCGUUGUUGUAUAUACAGUAUGAUUCCCGAUGAUGACGAUGCGGAUGAGCCCCUUUCGGCCCUGACUCCGUCCUUGAGCGCAGAAAGCAUCAAUUGAUGAGUUCCCCCUGUAAACUUCAUUGUUAUUGUCUCAGAUACUUAUUUCUUCUUUCCUCGUCGAAUAAAAGGAUAUUCACCUUCUUUUUAUAAGUUAACAUUUAAUGAAAAAUUCACACUACCUUGUAA